ensembl:lncRNA
CAUCAAAACUCAGGCCGUGCGGGUCCCCGCUUCCGGAGCCGCCGGGGGACUCGGGCGGGGCCGGCGCCAGCGAGGUCGCCGUGGUUGGAGGUGGCGGGGAAGGUGCGGGCCUCGCUUCCUGAGAGAACUCCCUCCGGGUUAACUGCUAGAGAGGGCUCUCUGGGUUUUCUCCGGAGUUUGGACUUUGGUACUUUCAUCGAGAUUUUCCUCCCGGGUUCCUUCCUUCAGCCCAUCCAUCAACUUUCCCACCAACAUGAGCCAGCCACCCCGGAGGGAGGGCCAGUGAGACUGACCUGGAAGAGGGGACGAGGAAACUUACCGUCUCCUUAAGGGAAAUGUGACACCUGCCCAGGGACUGGCCGGAGACCGAGCAUAGCAGUGAGUGGUGUGGUUUCCCAGGGCCCUGCCUGUCCACAGGAGGAGCUGGAAUCUAGUUAGGAGUGAUCAGAAGAUGAGAUCCUCGCCGGACCGUGGAAAUUGGGAAGGGUUUAUAAAUGGGGCAUCUCACAGAGUCACAAAUGGCAUCUGUGGGAGGCCGAUGGUGGCCCCUAAAGAUAUCCGGUCCUAAUCUGUGAAACCCAUGGAUGUUACAUUACACGGUGAAGACUUUUCAAAGAAGAGAAGAUGGAAAGAUGGAGCACAGAAAGAUUGGAAGGUGCUGAAAGUAAAGAGUCCUUAAACAUGGGAACAAUCCAGCCAUAAGCCACAGCACUGAGGUUACCAAAGCUGAAGAGGCCAGGAGUAUGUUCUCCCUGGAGCUGCUGGGACAGGAGGGGCCUUGAUUCAGGCUCAGUGAAGCGGAGGUGGAACUUCUCACCUCCAGAAGUGUCAGAGAAUAAAUUUGUGUUGCUCUAAGCAAAGUUGUGGUCGCUUAUUACAGUAGCCCCAGGCCAUACUUGUGGGUAAAAUGAAAGCCUGAGUCUAGAAGACAGUUGAGGUCCUGCCAGAGCUCACAUGGGAGCUAUGAUGACUUGAAGGUGUCCUGUCAACUAUGUCUCAGGCAUCAGCUGACUCAGUGGCAUGAGCAUCUUGGAUCCCGACAGAUGACACUGUAGUUGUUAGGAACCACGGAGGAGGCUGCCCAGGGCCAGCGGCCACCCUGACCUGGAAGUGCUUUGUCUGCAGUGUGGGAAGUUGUGAUCUCAGGGUCUUUCUGAAAAGAAACUUCAGAUUUAAGGGAAGAGUAAUGGAAGUCAAAAAAUGGAAACAACCCACAUGCCCAUGGACUGAUGAAUGGGUUAAAAAAUUAUGCUAUAUUCACACAAUGGAAUAUUAUUCAGCCAUAAAAAGGGAUGGAAUCUGAUACACCUAUAAUGAAUGAACCUUGGAUGAACCUUGAAAACCUUAUGCUACAUGUAAGAAGCCACAGUAUGUGAAUCUGGUAUGAUUUGUCCAGAAUAGGCAAAUUUAAAGACAGACAAGCAGAUUAAUGGUUGCCAGGAACUGGGGGCAGGAGAGGAAUGCAGAAUGACUGAUUUGGGGGUUUUCCUUUUGGAAUGAUAAACACAUUCUAGAACUAGAUAUUGGUGAUGGUUGCAGAAUAGUGUGAAUGUACUUUGUACUGCUGAAUUGUGUACUUUAAAGUGGCUAAACCAGUCAAUUUUAUGUGAAUUUUACCACAAUAAAAAAGUGGAAAAUGUGAGUGUUGUUCUAACUCAAAUUGUUGGGCCAGCUGAAAGGUUCACGGGAUAAUGGUUGGAUAUGCAAAGAGCCCAAGCUGGUCGCUGUCAGGGAUGACUGCAGAAAGAAUCACCGGAAGUGUCUGGUGCCAUACCCUUGUUUUAGUUCUACCUCCGAUCAAUGAAAUCAGUCUGCACAUGAGGCCCAGGCAUCACAAAGUUUAAAACCCACCCCAGAUGAUUCAAAUGUGCAGCCAGGCUUCAGAACCCUGGCUUAAAACCUCCAGGGCCAAACAAGCUCAUGAGCUCUGUGCGCACCGACUCGCCCCUUUAUCUUCUCCUGGGCCUGCUGGGAGUGGAGGGGAGAUUCCAGGAGAGGGCUUUUAGAAUUGGACAGCCAUGGUUUGAAAACCAGCCCCACUGUUUUUUGUUUGUUUGGUUGGUUUUUUGGGGGUACCAGAGAUCGAACUCGGGACCUUCCGCUUGUGAGACAGGCGGUGGAACCACUGAGCUAAAUCCCCGGCCCCCAGCUCCACUGUUAACUAGCUGUGUAAUCUUGGGCAAACCACAUAACCCUUUGUUAUGGUCUGUGUCUAGAUGGGCCCCCAAAGCCUCAGGCAGUCAUAAGUGGGGCUUUUUCAGAGGUGGCUGGAUCUAGAGUGUGUGAUGCUGGGAUUGAGGGUGUGUGUUACUAAAUCAGUCCACUGAGUGGUUUGGCACCGGCCUUAUCCCCAGUAGUCUGGAUAAGACAAAAGGGCCAGAAAGAUGCUGUUAAGGUCCAUGGUUGCUUUUGCUGUCUUCCACCACCAUGAACUGUUGCCCCUCUGCCGUGUGCCACCCUGCCUUGGAGCCAGCAGAUUAUGCACUGAAACCUCUACAAACUGAGCUAAAUAAACCUUUCCCCCUUUAACUUUGGGGGUCAGGUAUUUUGUCUCAGCAACGAGAAAGUGACUACCACAUCCUUCAGGCACUGUUUUGACACCAACAUCUCUUUGCACCUCCUCUAGGCUGGAAAAGAGACACCAUGCCCUAUUUGUGUGGAAUUCCUCGAGCUAUCGUACCUUAAGUUCAAUUCCGUCCCUCCAAUGGAGGGUAGGUUGACAGACAACUUCAUAACGCAGGGAAGGACACGUUUCAUGGAGAGUUAGUGAUUAUCCCAUCAAUCCUUUCUGGACUCAGGGUCAGACUUUCUUCUGUGUACCAAGCUUUAUAAAUGAUGUAAACAUACUGGAGAUAAAAGCAGCCUCUGUCUGCCUCCUGUCUCAUUUCCUGUCUACUCCUGAGAGCCAGCUCAACAGCAAUGAAGGGAAAGCUAUUUGUAGAGUGCACGGGAGGAAAAUAAAUGCAAAGAGGCCCUUCCUAAGCGGUUGCGCUCAGCUCUCACUCUUUCUAGCAGCAAGAGCUUUAUGAAUGCCAGGCGAUAGAACAUGUACUUUGGUACCCAUUGGUUGGGACAGUUGGUAGCUAUGAAAACUGCUGUGGACUCAGUGAUGCCUUCGGGUAAGUGUGUAUCUCAUUAAUUUCAGUAGCGACCACAUAAAUUUCACAAACAGUAAAAAAUAUGCACGAGACCUGUUUAUCUGGCUACACCGAUUUGGUUUGUAUUCUCAGCUUCCUUAUGUGUUCUUUUCUGCACAAAGGUUGGGAAAUGCUGCCCUGAGAAGCCACUGUCACCUUGUGACUGGCAGUGCUUCCUUGAUGAAGAGGACUAGGCCAGUGCUUGUCAUCAUAACUCGUACUUUACUUCGGAUCCCCUUCCCAGGAACAACUCGUCCUUAAUUUUUAAAGAUGGCUCACUUUAAGUCUCCUGCCUGCCUGUUCACCUUCUUAUCAGUGACAGCAACAAACAAUUAAUGAAAUUUUAAAAAUGUCUUACUGCCUGAAAUUACAUCUUCCAAUUAAAAAGUAACAAAGGCUGCAUCCCUCCUCUGUUCCCUUCCCUGGCUGAAACAUCUUGACAUCUGCUUCUGUCUCCAGCCUUGACUAAGACCAAGCUUAUGGAAAAACAGAAUAAGUCAUACACUUCUAUUGGGGACACAUGGUGUGUGACUUCAGUUCUCAAGGGAAACGUGUUCUGGUUGUUUGCAGAAAACUGAUAUAGUCAAGGGUUGCUUUGCCAGAGCACAGCAGGGUCCCAGGGGUCCACAGAGGUACCCCACAGAGGCAUGGGGGCCCUACUGCCCACACCCUUCCCCCUUCUCUAGCCCUAGUUGACACCAGCUUCUUUUUCAAAACUGAGCUCAGCAUAGACUCUUAAACCCAAGGGAAAAAAGAGGUCACGACCCAGUGGCUUCCAAGCCUUCCAAGCCCAAAGUACUCCCAGUAGAAUCCCUUGGGGGAACUUCCCUAAAAUGCAUUCUUGCCCCACACCCAUUCUGAUUCCUUGGGACUGUGUGUGGCCAUGAAUUCUGCAUUCUGAAAAGCUUUUCUGUGUUUCAGAUGACCAGUCUGAUUUCAGAAUCACUACGCUCGCAGCUUCCAUCCCCUGGACUCUACCUAUGCAUUGAAAUGUCCCCUCAUGGACACAGAGGGCUUUUAAGUACUUUCCUGUGUGCAUUUGGAUUUUGCCUUACUAUAUUUGCAGACUUCCAUUGUCUAGUGCCCUCUAAUUUUCAACUCCUAUUUCCUUUUCAUGUAGGGUCUUUCAGCUGUGCAUUAGGAUAAUUGGGGCAACCAAAAAGUACUAAAUGGAUGUCAUCAAAAUUAAAAACUAUUAUUUUAAAAAAUUGAUCCUAGGGACUAAACCCACAGCCUCAUGCAUGCCAAGACAAGCUCAGAGCUACACCACCAGCCCAAACUAAAUACUUCUGCUCCUUAAAAGCUACUGCUCGGAAACCUUUGCUACGGUCUUGGCCCUGUCUCCUAGCGCCCUGCGGAGGAGGAGACUUUCAGCAGAGGCCAGGGCAGCAGAAGCCCUCUUCUCUGUAUGCCAGGCUGAUGUUUCCAUAUAGCAUUUGAGGAAAGCACCUUUCAUCCACUUCAUCAGAAGAGCAUCUUUUUACUCCUAGAGUUACUGAUUCUGGUGUAGUUGAACGCAUUCUUAUUUAAAAUGAGGUUCUUAGACGUAUUUCUUUUGAAUAAAACAUACUUCUAAAAGCCACCGUUUCCAUUUUCAUUUUCUCCUUCCAGUACCCAGGGUCUGGUGGAAUGUUUAACCAUGAUGUGUCUGUAUUUCGAGGCUAUCCUAUUACC